AGAACGAACGCUGGCGGCAGGCCUCAAACAUGCAAGUCUAGGGGGUGUAGCAAUACAUCACCGGCGGACGGGUGCGUAACACGUGGGAAUGUACCUAUUGGUUCGGAACAACGCAGGGAAACUUGCGCUAAUACCGAAUGUGCCCGAAAGGGGAAAGAUUUAUCGCCAAUAGAUCAGCCCGCGUAGGAUUAGCUAGUUGGUGAGGUAAUGGCUCACCAAGGCUCCGAUCCUUAGCUGUUCUGAGAGGAAGAUCAGCCACACUGGGACUGAGACACGGCCCAGACUCCUACGGGAGGCAGCAGUUGGGAAUCUUGGACAAUGGGCGAAAGCCUGAUCCAGCCAUGCCGCGUGAGUGAUGAAGGCCUUGGGUUGUAAAACUCUUUCGACGGGACGAUAUGACGGUACCCGUAGAAGAAGCUCCGGCUAACUCGCGCCAGCAGCCGC
rnacentral:rRNA from 1 species